rnacentral:ncRNA from 1 species
AGCAGGACGGUGGCCAUGGAAGUCGGAAUCAGCUCAGGAGCGUGUAACAACUCCGCAGCCGA